GCCGCCGCCAAGCGCCGGGGAUAGAGGCUGCCGCGCGCCGGGCGCCGAGAUGCUGCGGCGCGGCCGCCACCGCCCGCACCCACCGACCCCGAGCCCGGGCCGGCUGGGUCUGGGGUGCGCGGCAGGGGCGCGGGAUGAGUCGGAAGAGGCCGACCUGGGGCCGCAGGAAGGGUGGUCUUGCCUGCGGAGUUGCAGCUAGAGGACGGAAAGUUUUUGCAUGCAGCCCUUCCAGCACGUCCUUGCCUCGCAGGGUCCCUGUCGUACACGAUGCGACCCCCCCGCGGGAAUUCCCGCGGCUCAACGGGGAGGAACUGAGGAGGGUUGCAUCCCUCCUCAGCCAACGACACCCCAAGCCAGUGAGGCGACCCAGGUGACCUCUCCUACCAGCCACCACUCACUUCACCCUUUCUCCUAUUUCGCGCUGGACCUUGGGCCGUGGAGGAUUCUGAGGAUGCCUUUGGGAGGCGAGACCAUUGGUUAAACGGAAGUGGUUCUAUAGAGCAGGCAGAGAACCACUUGCUCUGGGAUCACUGCAGCGGGGGAGCGAAUUCACUGGCUUUCGGAAGAUGCUGCCCAGCUAGCCGGCCGAGCUCCUGGAACAGUUCCCAGCGCUCUCUACCCUGAGCCGAGGGUGAGCGGAUUAGCGCGAGCAACCUGCGGCCGAAGUGUGAUACCUGCAGGAGUCCUCUUCUGGUUUAACUGCUUGCUCCAGCCAGCAGGAAAGGAAAGCGGGAGCUGCGAUAACUUGAGGGUGUCAUGUCAACCUUGUCUCAUGUACCAGCUGAACCCAGUGACACCAGCAUCUUGGAUUCUGACAGAUGGGGUGUUACUACUGACCCACCUGGGCAGUGCCCCAGGGCUGGAACUUGGGGCUCUGAAAGUGCUUCAUUUGCAGUGUGGGCUGGCCAGGGAGGCAGCUGGAUGCCUCAGGUUGGAACCCCAUGCCCGCAUCUCUUACACAGUGGUUCCCAAACUUCAGCUUCAGUCUGAGUGGAGGACCUGCCCCCAGAAAUUCGGAUUCAGUAGGUCUGGGACAGGGAUGGGAAUUUGCGUUUCUAGCCAGUUCCCAGAUCGUACUGGUGCUGCUCUUGGGAGAUCACACUUCGAGAAUCACAAGGCUACUUCGGAGCCCCAUUGCUAACUGAUGGAGCUUUUCCUCUUCAGUUCUUUCUGUAAAGGUGUGCCCUGAGGACCUUCAGAUUUGGGGAGACAAACGGAGCAAACAACCCAAAUAUCCAUCAACAGAAGAAUGGAUAAACACCAGGUGGUACAUCCAUACAAUGGAAUAUUAUUCAACUAUAAAAAGGAAUGGACUUCUGAUCCAUGGUACCACAUGAAUGAUCCUUGAAAACAUUAUGCUAAUUGAAAGUAACCAGUCACAUAAAGCCACAUAUUGCAUAACUCCAUGUAUAUGAAAUGUCCAGAAUAAGCAAAUUCAUAGAGACAGAAAGCAAACUGGUGGGUGCCAGGAGGUAGGAGGGAGUGGGGACUGACAGCUUAUUGGGUGUUCAUUUGGGAUGAAAAAUUUGUGGAUGAUGGUUGCACAACAUUGUGAAUGUACUUUGUACUAUUGAAUUGUGCCCUUUAAAAUGGUUAAAAUGGUCAAUUUUGUGUUACAUGUGUUUUAUUACAGUAAAAAAAUAAAAAUAAAAAGAGUGAAUGUAGCACUGUUCUAACACAAAUUGUGGGACCAGUUGAAAAGCUUAUUGGAAAUUACUGGAAAUGCAUAAGUCCUAACCCGGUGAUUAGUGAUUCUCAGCCCUUAUUUUGUGAAGAAUCACCUGGGGAGCUUUUAUACCACACCCUUGUCUCAGCUACAUCUAAGACCAUUUAAAUCAAAAUCUCUGGAGGUGAGGCAUAGGCAUAGCAAUUUUUUUAUUUCACUCCCAGAUGAUUCUAAUGUACAACUAGGACUGAGAACAGUGGCCUUAAAUCUCAAGGGCCAGAUGGGCUGAUGACAUGUACCAAUGGACUCAAACUUUAUCACAGACAAUGUACCUUCAUCUUAUCCCAGGCUGGCUUGCAAGGGGUGUGUAGAGUAGAAUCAGGAGGCUGGAAUCAUUUUGAAAACAGGUUCCAUAACCAGCUGGCUGUGUGACCUUGGGCCAACCACAUAACCUCUCUGAGGUUUUGUUUUUGCAUGUGGAAAGUAGGAGUCUGUUUUCUCUUACAAAAAGAACACAUUUCUUGGGGUUUUUGUAAGGCUUACAUGAAACUGGCCAGUUUCCCAGUUCUAACAGUGUCAUACACUGUUUUGUCAUCCUAACAUCAGACUGGAAGGAGUCAUGUUAUCCGGUUGUCUUCUGCUAGACUGGAAAGAAGUGGCUUAUUUGUGUGACAGGCCUAGCAUUGCAAUACUCUUGUUCUGUAAGUUCAAUUUUCUCCCUCCACUUGAGGGGUGGGACACAUUUAGAUUAGGAGUUAGUGAUGAGGGCCUCUCAAAGCCAUAAUAUCUAAGUGGAGAGGACUUGCAGGAGAGACUUGAAAGAAUAUGCAAGAGGUGAGCCUGAUAGAAAUCCUUUCUGUGCUCAUGCUCAGACUUUCUUUUGUGUACCAAGCUUUAUAAGGAUGUGAAUAUCUUAGAGUACUGAGAUAAAAACAAAUAAAAUUCACCCGCAAAUACCUACCAAUAAAUGAAACUAGAUUUUUUCAUGUUUCUGUUUGGUUUUUAUUCGUAGGUAAUCUAUUUUUAUUCAACAACAUU